UUUCCGUAGGUGAACCUGCGGAAGGAUCAUUAUUGUAUAACCGAGGCGCGAGGGUUGUCGCUGACCCGAAAGGUCGUGCACGCCCGAGUGCCCUCACACACAUCCAUCUCACCCCUAUGUGCACCACCGCGUGGGUCCCCCUUUGGCUUGUUCGGAGGUGGGCUUACGUUUUCACACAAACUUUGUAUGCAGUGUAGAAUGUAUUUUUAGUUUUUGCGAUCACGCAAUCAAUACAACUUUCAACAACGGAUCUCUUGGCUCUC
rnacentral:misc_RNA from 1 species